UUCACCUUCCAGCCCUCUGGAGUAUAUUUCAACAUAUUUUAGAUCCUUUCUAGGCACACACACUAUUCACCACUCACAAUAUAAAAUGUAUAAUAAAAUCAAACAAAAAGAUAAUACUGUUAAUAUUAAUAAACUCCAACAUAUCUUUUUUGUAUAACUUGUGGAACAAUGUUUCUCAAACUUUGGUACCAGUAUCACUUGGGGUACCAGACAUGCUUUCCAUAGGUACCAUAAAUCCUUGUUCAUAUGCAUACGUACAGUAUUAAUUAAACGCGAGCUUUGACAAAUCCCAUUGUUCACGUGCAUUUAAAAUUAGUACGAGACACAUACAUUUUGAUAACCACUGUUCUAGAAGAAUUCCCGCUAAAGCGAACAAAAUAAAGCAGAAAACGACUACUAGGUAGCAGCACUAUGUACCAGCGACAUGAUACAGUGCCGACUUUCUGACUACAUACAUAACCUGUGUGAUUGCUGAUUAGAUGCAUCCGUGAUUAGAAGAUGCCUCCAUACACGAAUUGGGGCUGAACUGGGUUUCAGUUAACCAAGUCCGCUUGUCAGCCUCCAGAGAACUAGUGAUAAAGGGAAGACGGCUGUCCUUGGACUCACCACUGGAAAACCUUAAGUCCUACUUAGUAAUAAAGGGACUUAAACAGAACACUGCAAGGAAACUGUCCACAGACUUCAGCGGGCACAAGUUCUUCCAGUGCAAACAGAUUUUCAUUUUGUGAAGUAUCAUGCAGUAAAACAUUACUAAAUCAUUUAUAUUAAUUUUCACAGCACUGGGUUACAGAGCUUUAAAACGUAAAUAAAUUUGUCUUGAAGUGAAGAAUACUUAGAAGCUUUUAGAAGAUUCCAGAAGUGGAGUAAUUAGUUUCUACCGUACAAGAGUAUGAGGUGUGAAACACAUGACAGGGCCCCCAGUUGAACUUCAAUCCCACAGUUUAACAGUUUGCUGGUAUGCUAUCGCAACACAUGGCCAAUAAAGGUUAAUUAAAGGGACUCAUCAGUCUACAGUA